rnacentral:tRNA from 1 species
GAGAGUAUAGCUCAGUGGUAGAGCGCGUGUUUAGGAGGCACAAGGUCCUGCAUUCAAUCCCCAGUACCUCCA